GACUGCUUUUCUACUUAAGCUCUAGAAAGAAGGCGGAAGCUAGGAUUUCUCCUUAGGGUGCACAUUAUUGCAGAGGUGGGCAGCACUCCAGAAGCACUUUGACAGCUUAUUCCUAUGCGGGAGAAACUGGAAGUGUCCUGCACAUGGAGGAAAUAGAAAGUGUCCUGCACAGGGGAAAAACAGGAAGUGUCCUGCACAGGGGGAAAAGAGGAAGUAUCCUGCAUGUGGAAGAAACAGGAAGUGUCCUGCUCAUGGAGGAAACAGGAAGUGUCCUGCUCAUGGAGGAAACAGGAAGUGUCCUGCACAGGGAAGAACACCAUGUGUUUAACCAGAUUCACCCUACUUUGGAAACAAUUGUGGUUUUAAAUGUCCAUAAAUUCUUUGAUACUCCUCUAUUUAGGAGAUAAAACUUGCUCCUCUUCCAUGGAGUGUGGACUGAGUGGCUCAUUCUAAUGAUCAGAAAAGAGUGUGUGACUUCGGAGACUGGGUCAUAAGAAGCACUGCAGCUUCCUGCUUGCUCUCUCACAUGCUCCUGGAUUGCUUGCGUGAGGACAUCCAGGAACUGAGGGAAUCUAGAGCGCAGCAUAUACAUCAAGUAAGAGGAUGAAGAAGGGCCACAUGCAGAGGGAAAUGCAGGUGAUAUCCUGUCCAGUGACUUUGCCUUGGUGAUUAAAUGAUGUUGGACACUAGGUGAGUAGAUUCUGGGGCAUCAGUAUACAUUCUUUUACUCAACAGAUAUUUACUUAACACCCACUAAAUCUUAGGCACUGCUCUAGGUGGAGUGCGCACAGCGGUAAGUACACACAUUCCCUUACCUCAGGGAGCUUAUAUUCAGGUAGUUUUGAGGUUCAGGUCAGGUCCCUGUAUCAUGGCCCAGGCACAACUGACCCUAGUCAACACACAGUUGUAGCAAACAAUCUUUGUACAUUUCUCUGUCUUCAUAAUCUUUUUUUUUUUAUUUCAGCAUAUUACAGAAGUACAAAUGUUUAGGUUACAUAUAUUGCCCUUGCCUCACCUGAGUCAGAGCUUUAAGCGUGUCCAUCUCCCAGACGGUGCCAUAAUCUUGAUUAGUCAAGAAGAAAUUCAUUAAUAAAUUCAAAACAAGUUGUGCUUUAAAGAAAGAGCUUCCAAAAACGAUUGUAAAUUCUGGAGGCUGAAUAUCCCGUGUUGUAUUCAUGCAACGGAGGAUUAGUUCUGAGGUCAUUUUAUGUAAAAGAAAGAAGAGAGAAAUAAAGGGGAUGGGGAACCAAAACCUGAGGAUGCAAAACAAGUGCCAUUUGUUCAGGAAAGACAUAAUGUCAGAACCACAGACACUUCUAAAGAUUCAGAUCUUUGUGAUUAAAGCUGUGCCCGGAAAGUAAAUACGUGUUCUCUCAUGGAGACUCAGGGCAGCCGAGGAUAUUAGUCCUUGUUAGCUUCUUCUUGACAGGCCUGGGCAGAGGCUGAGGCCCCACAGAGCCUGCUUUCCACCUCACUACCUGUGGCAAAACAGCAGGCUUGUGCAUCAGUUAGAGCCCUGUUAACAGGAAGCAGAAACCGUGCUAGCUAUUGUAAACAGAAAGAUAUUUUAAAGAUGUAAUUAAGUGUUUACAAAAUCAUGGAAGACAGCGGGAGCAAGCUCCAGGCUCUGUCUCUAGCAACAACUCCCAGAACAAGGUUGUCGAACUAGCCCGCCAGGGGUGCUUCUGUCUCUACAAAAGUCAGGAAGGUGAGGGAUGAGGAGGCCGCUCCUGGGCCCGUAGCGUUUAUGAACACCCCACUGUAAUAGUGAUCCAGGGUCCAGGAAACCGCUGAUUCUGCUGAGGCAAAGGCCUCUCAGUGCCGACAUAGCUAGUGGCCAGACACUGGAACAUAGGUUUUU